rnacentral:tRNA from 1 species
UCUAAUGUGGCAGAAUAGUGCAAUGGACUUAAGCCCCAUAUAUAAAGAGUUAACAUCUUUCAUUAGAA